UUGAUUCACUUCUGACUCUUUUCUAACUAAAACAAUCCGCUCAAAUAUACAGUCUAAUAAAAUAAAAAACUGAGCUUUCGUCAGUCCAAACAAAUAAAAAAAUACAAAUCUCGUUUAUCUUAUUAUCUCUCCUGUUUCGAGACAAUUUUUCAAAAUCACUUUCCCAAUUUUAUGAACCCUAAUUUCGAAAAUUGUGUGGGUUCCUCUCAAAUCAACUCAAUAUUAGAGUUUUGUAGACUCGUUAUAUCAUACGGCGAGAAACAAGCUCUGUUCUCAUCACAAGACAAUCAGCUGCGUCACUAGAGCUUUUCCGGAUGAUGGAGCCAUAGAAGCAUCUUCUUCUCCCUCUACUUCUAGUUCUUGGCAAUGACAAGUAAUGGUAUCAAAAGCAUCUGUCGUGUCUUAGAGAAGAGCCGACGAGGACCCUCAACGCCCUGUUCGUUUUCGACGAUUGAUCUUCCUCUCCCACUGCCGGUUUAUCUCACCGCCUCCGUGAGAGAUUAUCUCGCUUUCUCUUCUUUCAAUUGAUGUCCUCUUCGAUUGGUCUCUCCUACGCAAUUGUAGUGAUCUGGGAGUUCGUCGUUCCGUGUCGUUGGUUUCUCCUCCGGUGCGUGGUGGUCUCCGGUUCCUCUGCUCUCCUCUUGCUCAAGAACGGUGUCUAAGUUCAGGUCUUGGGUCUCCGGGUCGGAUGUACACUGUCCAUGUUCCGGCUCACCGGAUAUAGUCUUGCUUGGGAGGCUCCUUACUUCUCUGUCCACCGUUGUUGUCUGAAGUCUGCGUUGAUGCUAUAAACACGGAUGGCUUCCAAGAAAAGCUGAUUCUUUUGAGAAGAUUGAGAAGGUAAGAGAAGAAUAUGUUUCUGGUUUUGUUCUUUGGCAUGAUGUUUGGGUGAUUAAAGUCCAUUGCUUUGUGUGUACAUUGAACCAGGAACCUAUUUGUUGUUUGAAAAAUAAAAAUUUGUCUUUAUUUUGAUAA